UGAGGAAUAUUGGUCAAUGGGCGCAAGCCUGAACCAGCCAAGUCGCGUGAAGGAAGACGGCCCUAUGGGUUGUAAACUUCUUUAGGGUGGGAACAAAGGACGCCACGCGUGGCGAGAUGAGUGUACCACCAGAAUAAGCAUCGGCUAACUCCGUGCCAGCAGCCGCGGUAAUACGGAGGAUGCGAGCGUUAUCCGGAUUUAUUGGGUUUAAAGGGUGCGUAGGCGGCUUGGUAAGUCAGCGGUGAAAUUCCAGUGCUCAACAUUGGCCGUGCCGUUGAUACUGCUGGGCUUGAAUGCGGAUGCCGUGGGAGGAAUGUGUGGUGUAGCGGUGAAAUGCAUAGAUAUCACACAGAACACCGAUUGCGAAGGCAUCUCACGAAUC
rnacentral:rRNA from 1 species